AUAAACUAUGCCUUCCAGCGAUCCGCCGAAGUUCCUCCGAUGACUCGGCGGGCAGCUUCCGGGAAACCAGAGCUUUUGGGUUCCGGGGGAAGUAUGGUUGCAAAGCUGAAACUUAAAGGAAUUGACGGAAGGGCACCACCAGGAGUGGAGCCUGCGGCUUAAUUUGACUCAACACGGGAAAACUCACCAGGCCCGGACACCGGAAGGAUUGACAGAUUGAGAGCUCUUUCUUGAUUCGGUGGGUGGUGGUGCAUGGCCGUUCUUAGUUGGUGGAGCGAUUUGUCUGGUUAAUUCCGAUAACGAACGAGACUCUAGCCUACUAACUAGGCGUACCCGGUAUCCACAAUCGUGCUACCGGCGGUCAAAUUUCUUCUUAGAGGGACAGGCGGCUUCUAGCCGCAAGAGACUGAGCAAUAACAGGUCUGUGAUGCCCUUAGAUGUCCUGGGCCGCACGCGCGCUACACUGAAGGAAUCAGCGUGUCUUCCCUGUCCGAAAGGACCGGGUAACCCGCUGAACCUCCUUUGUGCUAGGGAUUGGGGCUUGCAAUUGUUCCCCAUGAACGAGGAAUUCCCAGUAAGCGCGAGUCAUAAGCUCGCGUUGAUUACGUCCCUGCCCUUUGUACACACCGCCCGUCGCUACUACCGAUUGAAUGAUUUAGUGAGGUCUUCGGACUGGUGCGCGGAGGCCGCAUCCACGGUCUCCGAUGUUGCUGGAAAGAUGACCAAACUUGAUCAUUUAGAGGAAGUAAAAGUCGUAACAAGGUUU
rnacentral:rRNA from 1 species